rnacentral:rRNA from 1 species
GACGAACGCUGGCGGCGUGCUUAACACAUGCAAGUCGAACGGAAAGGCCCUGCUUUUGUGGGGUGCUCGAGGGGCGAACGGGUGAGUAACACGUGAGUAACCUGCCCUUGACUUUGGGAUAACUUCAGGAAACUGGGGCUAAUACCGGAUAGGAGCUCCUGCUGCAGGGGGGGGGUUGGAAAGUUUCGGCGGUUGGGGAUGGACUCGCGGCUUAUCAGCUUGUUGGGGGGGUAGUGGCUUACCAAGGCUUUGACGGGUAGCCGGCCUGAGAGGGUGACCGGCCACAUUUGGCCUGCGAUACGGCCCAGACUCCUACGGGAGGCAGCAGUGGGGAAUAUUGCACAAUGGGCGGAAGCCUGAUGCAGCAACGCCGCGUGCGGGAUGACGGCCUUCGGGUUGUAAACCGCUUUCGCCUGUGACGAAGCGUGAGUGACGGUAAUGGGUAAAGAAGCACCGGCUAACUACGUG